rnacentral:rRNA from 1 species
UACGUAGGUGGCAAGCGUUGUCCGGAAUUACUGGGCGUAAAGGGCGUGUAGGUGGACUGAUCAGUCGGGUGUGAAAUAUCCGGGCUUAACCCGGAGGGUGCAUCCGAUACGGUCAGUCUUGAGUGCAGGAGAGGGCAGUGGAAUUCCCAGUGUAGCGGUGAAAUGCGUAGAUAUUGGGAGGAACACCAGUGGCGAAGGCGGCUGCCUGGACUGUAACUGACACUGAGGCGCGAAAGCGUGGGGAGCAAACAGG